rnacentral:rRNA from 1 species
GGUUAAGUUAGAAAGGGCGCACGGUGGAUGCCUUGGCACUAGGAGCCGAUGAAGGACGGGACGAACACCGAUAUGCUUCGGGGAGCUGUAAGCAAGCUUUGAUCCGGAGAUUUCCAAAUGGGGAAACCCACCACUCGUAAUGGAGUGGUAUCCAUAUCUGAAUACAUAGGAUAUGAGAAGGCAGACCCGGGGAACUGAAACAUCUAAGUACCCGGAGGAAGAGAAAGCAAAUGCGAUUCCCUGAGUAGCGGCGAGCGAAACGGGAUCAGCCCAAACCAAGAGGCUUGCCUCUUGGGGUUGUAGGACACUCUGUACGGAGUUACAAAGGAACGAGGUAGAUGAAGAGGUCUGGAAAGGCCCGCCAUAGGAGGUAACAGCCCUGUAGUCAAAACUUCGUUCUCUCCUGAGUGGAUCCUGAGUACGGCGGAACACGUGAAAUUCCGUCGGAAUCCGGGAGGACCAUCUCCCAAGGCUAAAUACUCCCUAGUGACCGAUAGUGAACCAGUACCGUGAGGGAAAGGUGAAAAGCACCCCGGAAGGGGAGUGAAAGAGAUCCUGAAACCGUGUGCCUACAAGUAGUCAGAGCCCGUUAACGGGUGAUGGCGUGCCUUUUGUAGAAUGAACCGGCGAGUUACGAUCCCGUGCAAGGUUAAGCAGAAGAUGCGGAGCCGCAGCGAAAGCGAGUCUGAAUAGGGCGAAUUGAGUACGUGGUCGUAGACCCGAAACCAGGUGAUCUACCCAUGUCCAGGGUGAAGUUCAGGUAACACUGAAUGGAGGCCCGAACCCACGCACGUUGAAAAGUGCGGGGAUGAGGUGUGGGUAGGGGUGAAAUGCCAAUCGAACCUGGAGAUAGCUGGUUCUCUCCGAAAUAGCUUUAGGGCUAGCCUCAAGGUAAGAGUCUCGGAGGUAGAGCACUGAUUGGACUAGGGGCCCCUACCGGGUUACCGAAUUCAGUCAAACUCCGAAUGCCGAUGACUUAUCCUUGGGAGUCAGACUGCGAGUGAUAAGAUCCGUAGUCGAAAGGGAAACAGCCCAGACCGCCAGCUAAGGUCCCAAAGUAUACGUUAAGUGGAAAAGGAUGUGGAGUUGCUUAGACAACCAGGAUGUUGGCUUAGAAGCAGCCACCAUUUAAAGAGUGCGUAAUAGCUCACUGGUCGAGUGACUCUGCGCCGAAAAUGUACCGGGGCUAAACGUAUCACCGAAGCUGCGGACUGUUCUUCGAACAGUGGUAGGAGAGCGUUCUAAGGGCUGUGAAGCAAGACCGGAAGGACUUGUGGAGCGCUUAGAAGUGAGAAUGCCGGUAUGAGUAGCGAAAGAGGGGUGAGAAUCCCCUCCACCGAAUGCCUAAGGUUUCCUGAGGAAGGCUCGUCCGCUCAGGGUUAGUCGGGACCUAAGCCGAGGCCGAAAGGCGUAGGCGAUGGAUAACAGGUUGAUAUUCCUGUACCACCUCCUCACCAUUUGAGCAAUGGGGGGACGCAGGAGGAUAGGGUAAGCGCGGUAUUGGAUAUCCGCGUCCAAGCAGUUAGGCUGGGAAAUAGGCAAAUCCGUUUCCCGUGAAGGCUGAGCUGUGAUGGCGAGCGAAUUAUAGUAGCGAAGUUCCUGAUUCCACACUGCCAAGAAAAGCCUCUAGCGAGGUGAGAGGUGCCCGUACCGCAAACCGACACAGGUAGGCGAGGAGAGAAUCCUAAGGUGAUCGAGAGAACUCUCGUUAAGGAACUCGGCAAAAUGACCCCGUAACUUCGGGAGAAGGGGUGCUCUGUUAGGGUGCAAGCCCGAGAGAGCCGCAGUGAAUAGGCCCAGGCGACUGUUUAGCAAAAACACAGGUCUCUGCGAAGCCGUAAGGCGAAGUAUAGGGGCUGACGCCUGCCCGGUGCUGGAAGGUUAAGAGGAGCGCUUAGCGUAAGCGAAGGUGCGAAUUGAAGCCCCAGUAAACGGCGGCCGUAACUAUAACGGUCCUAAGGUAGCGAAAUUCCUUGUCGGGUAAGUUCCGACCCGCACGAAAGGCGCAACGAUCUGGGCACUGUCUCAACGAGAGACUCGGUGAAAUUAUAGUACCUGUGAAGAUGCAGGUUACCCGCGACAGGACGGAAAGACCCCGUGGAGCUUUACUGCAGCCUGAUAUUGAAUGUUGGUACAGCUUGUACAGGAUAGGUAGGAGCCUUGGAAACCGGAGCGCCAGCUUCGGUGGAGGCAUCGGUGGGAUACUACCCUGGCUGUAUUGACCUUCUAACCCGCCGCCCUUAUCGGGCGGGGAGACAGUGUCAGGUGGGCAGUUUGACUGGGGCGGUCGCCUCCUAAAAGGUAACGGAGGCGCCCAAAGGUUCCCUCAGAAUGGUUGGAAAUCAUUCGCAGAGUGUAAAGGCACAAGGGAGCUUGACUGCGAGACCUACAAGUCGAGCAGGGACGAAAGUCGGGCUUAGUGAUCCGGUGGUUCCGCAUGGAAGGGCCAUCGCUCAACGGAUAAAAGCUACCCCGGGGAUAACAGGCUUAUCUCCCCCAAGAGUCCACAUCGACGGGGAGGUUUGGCACCUCGAUGUCGGCUCAUCGCAUCCUGGGGCUGUAGUCGGUCCCAAGGGUUGGGCUGUUCGCCCAUUAAAGCGGUACGCGAGCUGGGUUCAGAACGUCGUGAGACAGUUCGGUCCCUAUCCGUCGCGGGCGCAGGAAAUUUGAGAGGAGCUGUCCUUAGUACGAGAGGACCGGGAUGGACGCACCGCUGGUGUACCAGUUGUUCUGCCAAGGGCAUCGCUGGGUAGCUAUGUGCGGACGGGAUAAGUGCUGAAAGCAUCUAAGCAUGAAGCCCCCCUCAAGAUGAGAUUUCCCAUUCCGCAAGGAAGUAAGAUCCCUGAAAGAUGAUCAGGUUGAUAGGUCUGAGGUGGAAGUGUGGCGACACAUGGAGCUGACAGAUACUAAUCGAUCGAGGACUUAACCAA